GUUCAACUGACGAGUCCCAAAUAGGACGAAACACGCGUCCUGGAU
rnacentral:hammerhead_ribozyme from 1 species